rnacentral:piRNA from 1 species
GUUUGCAACUGGAAGGAAGAUGUU